rnacentral:lncRNA from 1 species
UUGUGAAUCUAUUGGAUUUGUUGAGGGACUUGCUUUACUAGAUCUAAGUGAUUGCACAAGUUUAAAAGAGCUUCCAAGAAACAUAGGCAGGCUAAGAAGUCUUGAAAAACUGAUGAUCUCCGGUUGCUCAAGUCUUUGUGAGUUUCCAACGGGGAUGAGGAGUAUGGAGUCACUGAAAGAGAUUUAUGCUGAUAGAACUAGAAAUAUUGCAUUAAUUCCUCUUAGCAGAGAGGUCCAACAGUGGGAUUUGCCGGGCUGUUUAGUUAAGUUAAGUCUUGGAUGCGGGAAUUUAUCUGAUGCUUCUUUCCCCAAGGACUUUUGUAACCUACCCUUCCUGGAGUAUUUGGAUUUAGAUGGGAAUUUAAUUCGAAGCCUUCCAGAUUGUAUCAGAACUCUAAACAGGCUUGAGUUACUCAGCUUAUCAUUCUGCCCAUUGCUGCAAUCUGUUGAAGGUCUGCCAAGUACUGUAACAGAUUUGUUUGUCUCCCACAGUGAGUCCUUGGAAAUAAUAAAAAGUACAUCUAAUUUAUUAUGCAUUCAUUGUGGGGAUUGUGAGAAUCUGGUUGAAGUUGAAGGAUAUUACAAAUCAGUGGGCAUUGAAAAUGUGGACAAACGAAUUAUAAAGAAUCUGGGGUUGUUGGAGUUACAAGUUGAGGAUAAAGUUGUUGAAAAAAUGAAGGUAUAUACUCUCGUAUAUGGCCUUGUUUCUGAUCUUGCUGUAUAUAUGUAUCAAAAUUUACAUAAUAAUCAUUAUUAUUAUCAUUAUUAUUAUUAUUAAUAUUAAUAUUUGAUUGGUGUGGUUCAGGUACGUUAUGAAUUUGGUAUAUUCAGCACGUUCAUUCCAGGAAAAGAGCUGGUAGAAUCAUGGUUUGAUUAUAUAGAUAGGAGCGGGUCAAGCUCAGUAUGUUUUAUUGUUCCGGAUAAUAGCAGCAGCUCGAAGAAGAGGACGAUCCGAGGCUUGAAUGUGUGUUAUGCUUAUUGGCAUGAUGGAUGUAACAUUAGUAAUAUGUUUGGUUGUAGAUGUGAAAUUAGUAAUACGACCAAGGAUCUCCGAUGGAUUUAUCAUUGGUGUCCUUUUGUUGUGGGGAAAGAUGUGUGGAAGAAAGAUGGCAAAUAUGAAGAUGGAAUAGUGUUUAGUCAUUGGAGGUUAGGGAAUUUGUUAGAAGUUGGGGAUCAUCUUAUCGUCAAGUUAAUUAGUGCUAAUUCAGUUAUAAAAGAUAUAGGGCUUAAGGUUGUGUAUGAAGAUGAAGAUGAAGACGAAGACGAAGACGAAGACGAAGACGAAGACGAAGAUGAAGAUGAAGAUGAAGAUGAUGAAAAUGAUGAUGAUGAAGAUGAUGAAAGGAAGGAGGGUACUACAAGUGGACUGUACAGCUUCAACAAGUACCACAACAACAAGAAGAAGAAGAAGGAGGAUAUUGUUACUCUCUCUUGGAAUGAAGAAAGAAAUUCUUAUAAACAUUUGUCAGACUGGCGUCAUACGCACGGGAACACCAUGUUUCUGGAUCACCAUAUAUAUACUCAUUAAUAUUCAUUGUGUGAAUGUGAGAUUUUCAUUUACAGUAUGAUCAACCUCCCAGUUUUGGUACGUAUUUUGUCGUAAACUUUUGGAAAAGUCAACAUUUUUUUCUUUCCAACACCCUUAGUUUAAUUUUAAAUAAAAUAAUUGUGUCUCAAAUGAUGUGUCAUUAUUACAUUAAUAUGGAGUUGGGACGUUACUGAAGAUAAAUUAUCAAACAUAAUCAAGAAAUUCAAUCUCCUUUCUAAUAGUAACUCAAACACUACAUUACAUUUCUGAAUUCUGAUAUGACGUAAUUAUAGUUAUGUCAUUACAAUAUAUAUGUCAUUUUUCUAUAAAUAUUUCAAUUAUAACCUGUUUAAAUUAUGACAUAAAUAUGUUUGUAGACUGUAGUAUACAUAUACAACACAAUCUUACUUAUUAAAUGUAUUUUUUGUUACUUAUUGGAGAAAUUAGAAAGAGUUGGUGAUGGCGAUAUUGUCAAGAAACUCAGAAUAACUUUUGAUGGCUUACCAGAUAAUGACAUCAAGAAUGUUUUCCUUCAUGUCGCUUGUUUCUUUGUCGGAGAGGACAAGGAUUGGAUAAUCAAGGUACUAGACUCCUGUGACUUACAAACAGCAGUGGCAAUUGAGCAUCUUGUUGGUCGAUGUCUCUUACAUAUUGAUCGUGACAAUAACACGUUGAGGAUGCAUCAACUAAUUAAAGACAUGGGAAGAGAUAUUGUUAAGCAGGAAGCACCUAAUGAGCCUGAAAAACGUAGUAGAUUGUGGCAUCCAAAAGAUUGCUCUAGCGUUUUGAGUGACAAAAUUGUAAGAAACAUGCUUAUCUCAUUCAUGUAUAUGUGUGUGUUGGGGAUGUUUUUUUAUUGUGUAUUUGCAUUCUCCGACUUAUCCAGUUCAUGUUGGUUAUCUAUAUUUAACAGGGUACGGAAGCAAUCAAAGCUCUAGGCUUUGACCUGCAAAUGUUUAAGAAAGAUAACCGGGUAAAAUCAAACUAUAUUGCAAAGAAUGAAAAAAAACAUCGCUUUGAAGACGUUCACGACAACACAUUUGAGUGGUUCAAAUCACUAAAACGUCAUGCUUCUAACUUCCUCUCUUGGCAUCCGAUGGAAAAUAAUUUAUACGAAGGGGACUUUGAAACUAAUGCCUUCACAAGGAUGAGACAACUAAAGCUAUUAAAGCUCAAUUAUNNNNNNNNNNNNNNNNNNNNNNNNNNNNNNNNNNNNNNNNNNNNNNNNNNNNNNNNNNNNNNNNNNNNNNNNNNNNNNNNNNNNNNNNNNNNNNNNNNNNAUUAACAGUUCCUUCCAUCCCUGAAGAUCCUUAAUCUCAGUCAUUCUAAAAGGAUUUCCAGAACUCCUAACUUCUCAAGAGUCCCAAAUCUUGAGAGGUUGAUCCUCAAAGGAUGUGCGAGAUUGGUUGAUGUUUGUGAAUCUAUUGGAUUUGUUGAGGAACUUACUUUAUUAGAUCUAAGUGAUUGCACAAGUUUAAAAGAGCUUCCAAGAAACAUAGGCAGGCUAAGAAGUCUUGAAAAACUGAUGAUCUCCGGUUGCUCAAGUCUUUGUGAGUUUCCAACGGGGAUGAGGAGUAUGGAGUCACUGAAAGAGAUUUAUGCUGAUAGAACUAGAAAUAUUGCAUUAAUUCCUCUUAUUAGCAGAGAGGUCCAACAGUGGGAUUUGCCGGGC